GGACUACACGGGUUUCUAAUCCCGUUUGCUCCCCUGGCUUUCGCGCCUCAGCGUCAGAAAAGGUCCAGCACGCUGCUUUCGCCAUCGGUGUUCCUUCCGAUAUCUACGCAUUUCACCGCUCCACCGGAAGUUCCGCAUGCCCCUACCUCCCUCAAGGCCGCCAGUAUCGAAGGCGAUUUUCCGGUUGAGCCGAAAGAUUUCACCACCGACUUGACAGCCCGCCUACGCGCCCUUUAAACCCAGUGAUUCCGAACAACGUUCGCACGGUUCGUCUUACCGCGGCUGCUGGCAC
rnacentral:rRNA from 1 species